rnacentral:rRNA from 1 species
UAAUAGAUACCCCGGUAGUCCACGCCCUAAACGAUGCGAACUGGAUGUUGGGUACAUUACGGUACUCAGUGUCGAAGCUAACGCGUUAAGUUCGCCGCCUGGGGAGUACGGUCGCAAGACUGAAACUCAAAGGAAUUGACGGGGGCCCGCACAAGCGGUGGAGUAUGUGGUUUAAUUCGAUGCAACGCGAAGAACCUUACCUGGCCUUGACAUCUGUCGAAUCCUGCAGAGAUGCGGGAGUGCCGCAAGGAACGACAAGACAGGUGCUGCAUGGCUGUUGUCAGCUCGUGUCGUGAGACUGUUGGGUUAAGUCCCGCAACGAGCGCAACCCUUGUCCCUAGUUGCCAGCACGUAAUGGUGGGAACUCUAGGGAGACUGCCGGUGACAAACCGGAGGAAGUGGGGAUGACGUCAAGUCCUCAUGGCCCUUAGGCCAGGGCUACACACGUACUACAAUGGUCGGUACAGAGGGUUGCGAAGCCGCGAGUGGAGCCAAUCCCAGAAAACCGAUCCCAGUCCGGAUCGGAGUCUGCAACUCGAC